UGCAGAAUCCCAGGAAAUGCACUGUUGGGAAAACCUCUGCCCUGGCUUGGGGUCUUCCUGACCUAGAAGGCCUUUCCAUCCCUCAUUAUUGUGGAGGGAGCAGAAUCCCAUGGAAGAAUUGUGAGGAAAGGAGAAUUUGAGAGUUUUGUUGAACAUAGAUGAAUUCCCUUAAACCUGUGGAGGGCAGCAGCAAAGUCCUUCUGUGCCAGCCUCUCCUUUGUGGCAGGGGAUGUCUGGAAGGAGGGCAAGAGAACAUUUGUGGUCUGCAGAGCAGAAAACAGGAACCCAGCUGCCAGGUGCCAGUUCAGCCUCUGCAGAUGUGACCAGGGAGGGAUGUUCACCCCUUUUCUUGUGGAGCACUCUGACAUUUGGGGAUAAGAG
rnacentral:lncRNA from 1 species